UUUUUGUGAUGUGAAGAUACUCACUGUGACAAGUUACAAACAGUUAACCGCUGGUUCAUAAAAUUCCUGAAAAUGUCACAACCUGCUCCAGCAUGCCAGUUCAAGUCAUAAUCCCCCUGACAGCACGCCACAUGCUCUGUGCCCUGCUCAUAUGCCCAGCCCCGCUGGGCACCACAGUCCCCCUGGCCUGCCCCGCUCUCUCCUGGCCAAACUACUGCCGGGCUCUGGCACAAAAAUAAUCCAGGCAUGGUGGCACACACCUGUGGUCCCAGCUACUUGAGAGGCUGGGAAUCUCAGGGCUUGUUAAAACUCAAGGUGUUAAAACUCAAAGCUCCUUCUACGUGCCACGCUGUCUCCCACCCACUCUUGUGACCUCAGAUCACGGCAGCAAUGUGGCUGCUUCAGCAGCAUCUGCCCAGAACUCCCAGGCUCGGGCAGAGUCCCCUCAACACACUGAUGCCUCCAGGGAUCUGAUGCACUUCACACUUUGAUCUGUGCCAUCUCUUGAUUCCUGUGUGUCUUCUACACUAAACUGUAAGCUCCAGGAGGGGAGGGCUCUUGUCUAUAUUCCCAGCAAGGACAUCUUCCUCACUGUAGUGGAUGCCAAUGGCACCCCCUGGAGUUUGGCAACACCUGCCCUCCCCCACCCCGGCACCCAGCAUGGACGUGGCCCAUCUUAGGUCAUCAGUGAACUCUUCCUGAAUCUCCCAGUUGAGCCCUUGUCUUCCUGUGCUUCCUUUUGGGGCAGCUCCUCCCACCUCCAUUGAAGUGGUGGCUGCUGACACACCAGCCCCCUUCAGCCGCUACCAAGCCCAGAACUUCACGCUGGUCUGCAUCGUGUCUGGAGGAAAACCAGCACCCAUGGUUUAUUUCAAACGAGAUGGGGAACCAAUCGACGCAGUGCCCCUGUCAGAGCCACCAGCUGCGAGCUCCGGCCCCCUACAGGACAGCAGGCCCUUCGGCAGCCUUCUGCACCGUGACCUGGAUGACACCAAGAUGCAGAAGUCACUGUCCCUCCUGGACGCCGAGAACCGGGGUGGGCGACCCUACACGGAGCGCCCCUCCCGUGGCCUGACCCCAGAUCCCAACAUCCUCCUCCAGCCAACCACAGAGAACAUACCAGAGACGGUCGUGAGCCGUGAGUUCCCCCGCUGGGUCCACAGCGCCGAGCCCACCUACUUCCUGCGCCACAGCCGCACCCCGAGCAGUGACGGCACUGUGGAAGUACGUGCCCUGCUCACCUGGACCCUCAACCCACAGAUCGACAACGAGGCCCUCUUCAGCUGCGAGGUCAAGCACCCAGCUCUGUCAAUGCCCAUGCAGGCAGAGGUCACGCUGGUUGCCCCCAAAGGACCCAAAAUUGUGAUGACGCCCAGCAGAGCCCGGGUAGGGGACACAGUGAGGAUUCUGGUCCAUGGGUUUCAGAACGAAGUCUUCCCGGAGCCCAUGUUCACGUGGACGCGGGUUGGGAGCCGCCUCCUGGACGGCAGCGCUGAGUUCGACGGGAAGGAGCUGGUGCUGGAGCGGGUUCCCGCCGAGCUCAAUGGCUCCAUGUAUCGCUGCACCGCCCAGAACCCACUGGGCUCCACCGACACACACACCCGGCUCAUCGUGUUUGAAAACCCAAAUAUCCCAAGAGGAACGGAGGACUCUAAUGGUUCCAUUGGCCCCACUGGCGCCCGGCUCACUUUGGUGCUCGCCCUGACAGUGAUUCUGGAGCUGACGUGAAGGCACCCGCCCCGGCCACUCCAUCAGGCACUGACAUCUCCGCGACCGGUUUUCAUUUCUUUUCUAAACUAUUUCCAGUCUUGUUCUUAGUCUCUUUCCAUCUGUGUCUUGGCUUCUUCAGUGGGUUUAAUUAAAACAAACAGAACAAUUUUCCCCA
rnacentral:sRNA from 1 species